rnacentral:rRNA from 1 species
UACGUAGGUGGCGAGCAUUGUCCGGAAUUACUGGGUGUAAAGGGCGUGUAGGAGGGGAAGCAAGUCAGAUGUGAAAUCCCGGGGCUCAACUCCGGAGUUGCAUCUGAAACUGUUUUUCUUGAGUGCUGGAGAGGAAAGCGGAAUUCCUAGUGUAGCGGUGAAAUGCGUAGAUAUUAGGAGGAACACCAGUGGCGAAGGCGGCUUUCUGGACAGUAACUGACGCUGAGGCGCGAAAGCGUGGGGAGCAAACAGGAUUAGAUACCCUGGUA